rnacentral:rRNA from 1 species
GGGGGGUCAUAUGAUGGCGGGCUGGACCUCUCGGGGUUACAGCCUUGCUGAAUUAUUCACCCUUGUCUUUUGCGUACUUCUUGUUUCCUUGGUGGGUUCGCCCACCACUAGGACAAACAUAAACCUUUUGUAAUUGCAAUCAGCGUCAGUAACAAAUUAAUAAUUACAACUUUCAACAACGGAUCUCUUGGUUCUGGCAUCGAUGAAGAACGCAUCGAAAUGCGAUAAGUAGUGUGAAUUGCAGAAUUCAGUGAAUCAUCGAAUCUUUGAACGCACAUUGCGCCCUUUGGUAUUCCAAAGGGCAUGCCUGUUCGAGCGUCAUUUGUACCCUCAAGCUUUGCUUGGUGUUGGGCGUCUUGUCUCUAGCUUUGCAGGAGACUCGCCUUAAAGUAAUUGGCAGCCGGCCUACUGGUUUCGGAGCGCAGACAAGUCGCACUCUCUAUCAGCAAAGGUCUAGCAUCCAUUAAGCCUUUUUUCAACUUUUGACCUCGGAUCACGUAGGGAUACCCGCUGAACUUAAGCAUAUCAAUAAGCGGAAGAA